rnacentral:rRNA from 1 species
UACGUAGGGGACGAGCGUUGUCCGGAAUUACUGGGCGUAAAGGGCGCGCAGGCUGUGCUGCAAGUCAGCUGUGAAAUGUCUGGGCUUAACCCGGGCAUGCGGUUGAGACUGCAGUGCUGGAGUGCUGUAGAGGCAAGUGGAAUUCCCAGUGUAGCGGUGAAAUGCGUAGAUAUUGGGAAGAACACCGGUGGCGAAGGCGACUUGCUGGGCAGCAACUGACGCUGAGGCGCGAAAGCCAGGGGAGCAAA